AUACGUAGGGGGCGAGCGUUGUCCGGAAUGAUUGGGCGUAAAGGGCGCGUAGGCGGCGCGGUAAGUCUGGAGUGAAAGUCCUGCUUUCAAGGUGGGAAUUGCUUUGGAUACUGCCGCGCUUGAGUGCAGGAGAGGUUAUCGGAAUUCCCGGUGUAGCGGUGAAAUGCGUAGAGAUCGGGAGGAACACCAGUGGCGAAGGCGGGUAACUGGACUGCAACUGACGCUGAGGCGCGAAAGUGUGGGGAGCAAACAGGAUUAGAUACCCUGGUAGUCCACACUGUAAACGAUGAAUGCUAGGUGUAGGAGGUAUCGACCCCUUCUGUGCCGCAGUAAACACAGUAAGCAUUUCGCCUGGGGAGUACGGUCGCAAGAUUAAAACUCAAAGGAAUUGACGGGG
rnacentral:rRNA from 1 species